rnacentral:rRNA from 1 species
AUGAACGCUGGCGGCGUGCUUAACACCUGCCAGUCGCACGAUGAAGCCCAGCUUGCUGGGUGGAUUAGUGGCGAACGGGUGAGUAACACGUGAGUAACCUGCCCUUGACUCUGGGAUAAGCCUGGGAAACUGGGUCUAAUACUGGAUAUGACUUCUCAUCGCAUGGUGGGGGGUGGAAAGAUUUAUUGGUCUUGGAUGGACUCGCGGCCUAUCAGCUUGUUGGUGAGGUAAUGGCUCACCAAGGCGACGACGGGUAGCCGGCCUGAGAGGGGGACCGGCCACAAGGGGAAGGAGAGAAGGGCCAGAAUGCAAAGGGAGGCAAGAGGGGGGAAGAUUGGACAAUGGGGGGAAGGCUGAUGAAGGGAAGGCGGGGGGGGGAAGAAGGGCUUCGGGUUGUAAACCUCUUUCAGUAGGGAAGAAGCGAGAGUGACGGUACCUGCAGAAGAAGCGCCGGCUAACUACGUG